CCUCCUGCUCCUCCUCCUCCUCCUACUGCUGCUGCUGCUCCUACUGCUCCUCCUGCUCCUCCUACUGCUGCUCCUCCUCCUCCUGCUCCUCCUCGCCAAUGGACUAAACAUGAUGACAUCAUGCCAAAAGCUCCUUGAAUGCAGACACAGCAGCGACAACAAUAGUCGGAAAAUCUCACAACACGUUCUUCGACCUUUGACCUGCGACGACUGUACUAUGUCUUAUUUCCACACAACUGCUUGCGGCAUGUGACACACACACUCCAGUGUAUGUAAAGCCACACAUGCCUCUGAUCACUCACACCCAAAGCAGCAACCACUCGCAUCAAUUCUUUGCAGCCAUGGCACGGUACGAGCAACAUUCUAAGAGGAGUAUAACAAUUACGAACGCCUCUUUCAUUUUGUCUACCAAAAGACACAAUGCCUUUAAACUCAGAGGCGAAAGAUGGAUUUAAUCUCAGUGCUGGACUCAAGGUAAGAGAUCACCGACAGAAAAUAUUUUUCUAAAACUGCAAUGCAACAGCCGUAUGAUGAAUGCUGAAAAAAGCUGGGGACUGAUCUUCAAGAUGUUAAAUGCUUUUCUAUAUUUAUUUUAUUUGCUUUGUUGUUUGUUUAUAUGUUAAUAUGUUGGGUUUACUGUUGUACGUAUUGACCAUUAGGAGUGUGCUGUUUGUUGUUUGCAAAAAACUUUUGAUCACAGUAUUCAGUGCAGCUAAUUUUUAUAACAAUGUAUUGUAUUGUGUCGCAAUGAUGUUAACGGCGUAUGUAGCAUCAUAACUAGAAAAUGAUAAUGUUUACAUUUUAAGGCAUCUUCAUUAUUCCAAAGGGUUACAUUUCUGAAAAAAACACUCAGGACUAUUAACUAGUUCACUGUGUUAUUUCAUAUUUUUCUACAUGUUGUACUGUUGAGGUUAUAUUCAUCUUAUAUUCAUCUUAUUAGUGUUCUUUGUUAUUUACUUCAUUAAUUAAUAAACUGUUGAACUAAUCUCUA